UUUCUCCAAGUUUGUAUGCGUGUGGAAGCACCAGAGGCACAAAACAACACCCUAAAUCCCAGAAAAAGUGAUUCUUUCAUAAUAUAGGCACUUUAAAGUGAAUAUAUUCAUGC